CAAGGGAGCUAGCACAGGUGCUGCAUGGCUGUCGUCAGCUCGUGUCGUGAGAUGUUCGGUUAAGUCCCGCUAACGAGCGCAACCCUCGCUGUGUGUUACAAGUGUCACACAGGGACCGCGGUCUUAAGCCGGAGGAGGGUGGGAUGACGUCAAGUCAGCAUGGCCUUUAUGUCCAGGGCUACACACACGCUACAAUGGUCAGCACAAUAGGUAGCCAAGCCGCGAGGUGGAGCCAAUCCUCAAAGCUGGCCUCAGUUCAGGUCGCAGGCUGCAACCCGCCUGCGUGAAGCCGGAGUUGCUAGUAACCGCAGGUCAGCUAUACUGCGGUGAAUACGUUCCCGGGGCUU
rnacentral:rRNA from 1 species